UUUCUACUCCCUCCGUCUGAAAAUACUUGUCAUCAAAAUGGAUAAAAAUAGAUGUAUCUAAAACUAAAUAUGUCUAGAUACAUUUCCUUUUAUCCAUUUUGAUGACAAGUAUUUCCGGACGGAGGGAGUAUUUG
rnacentral:pre_miRNA from 1 species